GCACCGCGCCGCGCCGUGCUGCAGGCAGCUCCGCGCCCCCCGCCGGGACAGCGGUGACGGUGUGAGUCUGUGCGCAUCCCCGACUAGUACCGAGCAGGGAUGUCUACAAAGCCCUCUGGGCGUAAACUCACAUGCUGAGCCAUUUUUUACUGCCUUGGCAGAGGACACGGAGACCCUCCCCCAAGUAAAUAAAUAGAUAGAUAGACAAGAUACAUCCGUGCAGGAAAUAAUUUCCGUCCUCCUUUCGAACAAACAUGGGGGAUUCCUUAAAGUCAGUCAAGUCAUCCGCAUUCGCAGAGAAAAGAUCCAGCCGGCUGCAAGGGCAGAGCAUCGUUUGUACUCGGAUUGCAUUGGAAGCACCCGAGCUCCCAUGGCAACCUCGGCUCCUGCUGGAGGGCUUUAUUCCAUGCGCCGCCGUGGAGAGCCCCGUGGCAUCCUUUGCUGUGCGCAUCCUUACCCUUCAGCUUGCAGCGGGGUUUGCCUGCAGCCGGCCGCCACCAGCAGGAGAGGUGCGUUAUCUCCAUCCAGCUGCACCGUGAGCUAAUUGCAAAUGCAAACAUGCAGAAUUUGCCAUAAAAUGAGUGAGCCACAUAGUGGCGCCUACCUACCUCAUCACGGGCAUUUAUGAAGAGGCAUUCAAGAUGCAGUCAAGGCAACCAUGAUGAAGAGCACUGAACAAGUGGGUAACAAGGAUCAUCAUGGCUCAACACAAAAUAAUAUUUUAUAAGGGUACAAGAACAGCUCUUCCACCUUUUGCAGUUUCCCAGUCAUCUUUUAUGCAUGGAAUACCUGAAAACUGAAUGCAAGAGAAUCAGAGAAUUUCAGGAGUUGGAAGGGACAUCAAGAAAUCGAGUACAACUCCCCUUCUAAAGCAGGUUCCCUACAAUAAAUCACACAGAUCACAAACACUAAGCUGGAGACACCUGCUUAGAGAACUGGAGGUAACAGAGCGAUGCAGGAGGAGGCAGCGCUCUGACUGUGGCUGCUGUGAUGUGCUGGGCUGAUGCUGAGCCCAGUAUGCAAUUCUGGGCUUCAGCAAACCCAGGAGUUAAUUCAGAUGCUGUACCAUGAUUUGGGGAAAUAAAAUCAAAUUAACCAGAGACCUUGGCCAGGAUAAUUUUCUUGAUAAGAAAUGCUAUGCGUGCAGAAAGAGUGGAACUUCUACAUGUAAAAAGAGUGAGACACAAAGUGAUCUGUUGGCAAUAUCCAACCCUACAAGAGAUGACUGAGGCAAGAUACAGGCUGGUUUAGAGACUGUGAUCAAAGGAGUGACAGCCGCUUCCAAUCUGCAUGAACUUUGUGUUUUGUCACUUGGGGUUUUCUUACAUUAGCAAGGAGUGUUACUGGCACAGCUCAAGUGAGACUAAAAAACCCUGCCACUGCCACUGCUGUUACCCAGUGCUGUCUGUACAAAGACUAUACUGCUUAAUGUCCUUCUUGUUAAUUGAAAUUGGAUUUUUUGUCUGAGAAACG
ensembl:lncRNA